rnacentral:rRNA from 1 species
GACGAACCGUGCGAACGUUAUUCGGAAUCACUGGGCUUAAAGCGCGUGUAGGCGGGGCGGAACGUCGGUCGCUGAAAUCCCCCGGCUCAACCGGGGAAGGGCGCCGAUACGACCGGCCUGGAGGGACGUAGGGGGAGCUGGAACUUCCGGUGGAGCGGUGAAAUGCGUUGAGAUCGGAAGGAACGCCCGUGGCGAAAGCGAGCUCCUGGACGUUUUCUGACGCUGAGACGCGAAAGCCAGGGGAGCGAACGGG